rnacentral:rRNA from 1 species
UACGUAGGCAGCAAGCGUUGUUCGGAGUUACUGGGCGUAAAGGGUGUGUAGGCGGUUGGAUAAGUGUGGUGUGAAAUCUCCCGGCUCAACUGGGAGGGUGCGCUACAAACUGUCUGACUAGAGUGCGGGAUGGGAAAGUGGAAUUCCUGGUGUAGCGGUGAAAUGCGUAGAUAUCAGGAGGAACACCGGUGGUGUAGACGGCUUCUGGACCGUAACUGACGCUGAUACACGAAAGCGUGGGUAGCAAACAGG